UUAAGCAUAUCAAUAAGCGGAGGAAAAGAAACCAACAGGGAUUACCUCAGUAACGGCGAGUGAAGCGGUAACAGCUCAAAUUUGAAAGCUAGCUCUUUGAGGGUUCGCAUUGUAAUUUGUAGAAGAUGCUUCGGGUGUGGCCCCGGUCUAAGUUCCUUGGAACAGGACGUCAUAGAGGGUGAGAAUCCCGUAUGUGACUGGGUGCUUUCGCUCAUGUGAAGCUCUUUCGACGAGUCGAGUUGUUUGGGAAUGCAGCUCUAAAUGGGUGGUACAUUUCAUCUAAAGCUAAAUAUUGGCCAGAGACCGAUAGCGCACAAGUAGAGUGAUCGAAAGAUGAAAAGCACUUUGGAAAGAGAGUUAAACAGUACGUGAAAUUGUUGAAAGGGAAGCGCUUGCAACCAGACUUGCGCGCUGAUGAUCAUCCGGGCUUCUGCCCGGUGCACUCGUCUGCGCUCAGGCCAGCAUCGGUUUCGGUGGUGGGAUAAAGGCCUUGGGAAUGUAGCUCCUCUCGGGGAGUGUUAUAGCCCUCGGUGCAAUGCCGCCUACCGGGACCGAGGACCGCGCUUCGGCUAGGAUGCUGGCGUAAUGGUUGUAAGCGACCCGUCUUGAAACACGGACCAAGGAGUCUAACAUCUAUGCGAGUGUUUGGGUGUCAAACCCAUACGCGUAAUGAAAGUGAACGGAGGUGAGAACCCUUAAGGGUGCAUCAUCGACCGGUCCUGAUGUCUUCGGAUGGAUCUGAGUAAGAGCAUAGCUGUUGGGACCCGAAAGAUGGUGAACUAUGCGUGAAUAGGGUGAAGCCAGAGGAAACUCUGGUGGAGGCUCGCAGCGGUUCUGACGUGCAAAUCGAUCGUCAAAUUUGCGUAUAGGGGCGAAAGACUAAUCGAACCAUCUAGUAGCUGGUUCCUGCCGAA
rnacentral:rRNA from 1 species